rnacentral:rRNA from 1 species
AACGAACGCUGGCGGCAGGCUUAACACAUGCAAGUCGAACGCCCCGCAAGGGGAGUGGCAGACGGGUGAGUAACGCGUGGGAAUCUACCGUACCCUACGUAAUAACGCAUGGAAACGUGUGCUAAUACCGUAUACGCCCUACGGGGGAAAGAUUUAUUGGGGCAUGAUGAGCCCGCGUUGGAUUAGCUAGUUGGUGGGGUAAAGGCCUACCAAGGCGACGAUCCAUAGCUGGUCUGAUGGGAUGACCAGCCACAUGGGGACUGAGACACGGCCCAAGCUACUGCGGGAGGCGGCAGUGGGGAAUAGUGGACAAUGGGCGCAAGCUUGAUCCAGCCAUGCCGCGUGAGUGAUGAAGGUCUUAGGAUUGUAAAGCUCUUUCACCGGAGAAGAUAAUGACGGUAUCCGGAGAAGAAGCCCCGGCUAACUUCGUGCCAGCCGCCGCAGUAGAAC